rnacentral:rRNA from 1 species
GUCUGCUUGAAGUUAUAAGAAGUCUAGCCUGCUCUCUGAUAAAUUUAAGGGCCGCGGUAAUCUGACCGUGCAAAGGUAGCAUAAUAGUUAGUUUUUUAAUUGGAAUCUUGUAUGAAUGGUUGGACAAAAGAAAUACUGUCUCUAUAAUUUUAUUUGAAUUUAACUUUUAAGUGAAAAGGCUUAAAUUAAUUAAAAAGACGAUAAGACCCUAUAAAGCUUUAUAAGAAAAAGUUAUUUAGUUGAUUUAAAUAAUAAAAUUUCAAUAAUUUUUCUUAUUUUGUUGGGGAGACAGAAUUAUAAUUUAAGAUAACUGAGUUUAAAUAAAACAAAUAUAAGUGUUUUAAAGAUAAAAGAUCCUUGAUAUAGAUUUUAAGAUUAAGUUACUUUAGGGAUAACAGCGUUAUUUUUCUUGAGAGUUCAUAUCGAAAGAAAAGAUUGCGACCUCGAUGUUGAAUUAAAAUUUCUAAGUUAUUGCAGAAGUCACUUUAGAAGGUCUGUUCGACCUUUAAAUUUUUACAUGAUUUGAGUUCAGACCGGUGUAAGCCAGGUCGGUUUCUAUCUUUUAAUAAAUAAUAAGUUACUUUAGUACGAAAGGAUUUAGUAGCUGAAUUUUUUUCUAUUUUGGUAU